rnacentral:lncRNA from 1 species
UAGGAAAAGGUGUCCUAUGUUGUUUGCCUUGAAUGCAUCCCUCACAAGUAAGAUUCAUGGUAGAAUGGCCAAGGUCUAAGCCACUUACCAUGGAUUGAAGCUCCUUCAUGCUUUUGGCAUUCAAAUGCCCAAGUCUUUGAUGCCAAAUGCCUACCUUGUCUUCAUUUGAUGGAAAUUCAGCAAAAGCAGCAACCUCCACUCCAUUGAUCUUUUUGCAAUUGAUAAUAUAGAGAUUGCCAUCCCUAGUCCCUUUUGCUACUUCUUUGCCUUCCAUAGUUCUCACAAAACAUCCAUUCAUGAUAAAUUGCACUUUACACCCAUGAGUUACAAGUUUACUCACAGAAAGGAGGUUCUUCUUCAUCUUUGGCACAUGCAACACAUUCUUGAGAGUGAUUCUCUUGCUUAUGUCUUUCACCACCACCUGCACUACAAUGGUGCACCAUUGUAAAAUGGUACAAGUCAUGUGUUUGGUACAUCCGGAAUCCACAAUCCAUUUGCUCAUAUCAAGCAUGGAAGGAGUUUGUUUUGCCAUGAAUGCAAAGUCUUCACCUCCAUGGUCAUCAAAAGCAUUGUUGGCAUUCUCUCAUUCUCCUCUCUUUGCUUUGAAAGAAUUUCUAAUAAAAUGGCCUGGUUUUCCACAAAUGUAACAAGUUUUAGGAAGAUAAUGUUGAAAAGGGGCACUUGCUUUACUUGGUCUUGUAAAUAGUGCUGAUUGCUCCCCAAUAGACUCCUUUUGCUUUCUUUUGGUCACUUCAUGGGUUAGUCCCACCGUGACAUAGUCCAAAGUAAGGUCUUUCCUUGAAAUGGACUCCAAUGCCACAAUGAGGGAGGAAUAGGAGUCCGAAAGGCUUGAGAGCAAUAUCAUCACAACAUCUUCUUCAAGUAAAGGCUUGUCAACAACAACAAGUUGGUUUGCAAGUGCUUUUACCUUAUUCACAUGAGCCAUGAGAUCUUCACCUUCUUCCAUCUUCACGAUGAAGAAUUUUUGCCUUGACCAUAGCAUAUUGGAGAGAUUCCUACUUUCAUAGACAUUGUAAAGAGUCUUCCAUGCAUCUGCUGCCCCUUUGCAAGAAAUGACAUGAACAAAGUUGCUUUCAUCUAAAUUGGUGGCAAUUAUGCCAAAAGCCUUCUUCUCUCGUCUUUUGAAGUCCUUUUGCUCCUUGAUGCUUGCCUCUACCCCAGGUGUAAGUUCCUCCUCAUCUACUAUCUUCCAAAGAUCCAAUGACGCCAAAAAUAGCUCCAUUUUGGCCUUCCAGUGGUGAAAGUGGUCACUUCUAAACUUUUCAACAACUCUUAAGCCAUCACCCUCAACAGAUGCCAUCUCAAGCUACAAGUAGGUCCAAAAAACUCUUGAUUUGGAGUUGUAAUGCAAAAGAUAUGACUACUUAAAGAUUGCUGAAAUACAAAUCCAGAAUUCGCUGUUUUGCAACUUUUUGCAUAUUUUGAGUCCAAAUUACGUCUAAAUGGUGGGGAAUGGUUUGUAAUGUGAUUUUAUGACUUUCAAACGUCUCUCUCACGUCACUUCAGUCAAAAUGACUGACUUUCUCAUAAAACUCUCAAAUAUUAGUGCUCCUUCAGCAAAGACACUAUCAAGGUCUUGCACUAAGCUGAUACACUCACAAAUCCAGGAGCAAUGACUUCAAAAAUUUACUAGCAACACUCUACCAUAAGAUCUCAACCACCAAAACAAGCAACAAAGAAAUAAUGCAAGAACAACUUACUUGGUAAGAGAAUGUGGGCCCAUAACUUAUUGAAACAUAGAAAGCAUACUCAACACAAGUAAGUUAGGACCGGCAAGGUUGCACUUUAACAAAUAGAGUGUGGUAUGAAAUAAUUCUUCCCAUGCUAACCCUUUUCUUAUAUAUUAGUACCAAGGUAGCAAGUGCUACAACCAUUAUGAGAUAUCUCCUAGGACCAGACCUUCCCUUGUACUCUAAUGCACUAUAGACCAGCACCUAACAUUAUGGGAUAUUCUUAACAAUACUUGUAUUCUAUUGACCAUUAGCAACUAUUGAAAGAGUUCUUUCCUUCAACUAUAUAUACAUACAAAUUCAAAAAUAUAGUUGCUUAUUUAGUUACUAGAUUUUAGUAAUAUUCCAUCAACAAAGCAAUGUAAGAAAAAACCACGUACUUCCUUAAAGAAGGUUUCAUUGAAUCAUUUAUCAUCUUAUCAUGAUGAUGAUCCAACAAUAUUUGUACUUCUUGGCUAAUAUCAUGUUAUCAUGUUUGUAUGCUACUAGGCUAAAUUUGAAUUUAGUUAAGUGGUAAUUUGGGGUGUUACUAGAAAUUUUUGAGGCAUCCAAUGACUAAUACCAAUAAUGAUUCUAGAACACCUUUGAUUGUAGAUCUUCUAUAAUCACAAACCAUAUCUGAGAUGUGAAGCUUCAGAAUCUGUAGAAUUACAGUUGUAAGAAAUACUAAAAGAUGUUAUUGCUCAUUAGUACAAAAAAAAUUGGUUGUAAGAGAUAUGACUUUACCAACAGAUUAUUUUAUUUAUUUUAUUUUAUGUUAUCAUAGAAUGAAAUAUUUUGAGAAUCUUGCAAUACAAUUAAAUAAUGUUGUGUUAUUAUUUUUAUUUUUUAUUUUUUUAUGUAAACAACCAAGAAUAAGAUAUCUAAAUUAUUAUAUCACAAUAUUUUAAAGAAAGUGAGAAGUUUAAACAAGAUUUUUAGAUAUAAUGUGGUCUGAUUAUAGGAGAAAUGAUGGUUGUUAGGACAAUAGAGUCAAAAGGAUUUAAAGAAACUAAUUUAAAGGAUUGUAGUAUAAAGAAGGUUCUUAACAUGGUGUUAAAUUAGAAUAUUUUAAAGAAUCAAAAUCAAAAUAUCAAUUUGAAGUAUUUUACAAUACAUACUAGAUUGAGUAGGAAUGCAAGGAUAGUUCAUGUAUUCUUUUGGUUGUAUGAUUGUGUAAGUAAGUUGUAUAAGUGUUGGGAUCAAACUUAUGAGUGCAAGAGAGAACAAAUUUAACGAGAUAUGAAAAUAAGAGCUCUGAUGGCAAAAACGGAUAAUCAAUGACCAGAUUAGUAUAGGUGUAGAUACAUUAACCAACUGGGAGAUAGGAGUGCCAUGACAAAGUAGAUUUGGAAUAACAAUAAAGAAGAUGUGGGAUCAAAGACGAAUUGGCUUGCAAGGCAAUAAUGCAAGAAAGAGGCAUAUUAAAGAAAAAGAGCAGCAAUGUGAUGGAGUGGAGCUACAUUGAAGAGACUCAAUUGUGAUAUCUUCUUAUGUUGUUCAAUACUAGUUGAUGAGCUAACAUAGGUGAGACCAAAUUAAGUAAUAGCAAAAAAUAAGAAUGUGAUGAAAGUCAUGUUUAUGAUAAAUCUAUUGUAGAAUAGAUGUUUUGCUUAUAGCAAGUGAGAGUUGUACUAGAAGUAAUCAAAACUAUAAUUUUUAAAAUGGAUAAUAAAUUUUUUGGUGUUUGCAUAUUAAAGUUAGAUUCUUCUUUUAUUUAUGCAAUAGCACAAAACUUAAAAGCAAUCAUUUUUUAUAUUAAAAAUAUAUUUACUUUAGUCUUUAAGAUCUAAAGAAGUAUAAUGAUAAGCCAAUUUAUAUCAAAUUUAAAGAAUUAUUAUUAUUAUUAUUAUUAUUAUUAGAUGAUCUUAUAGAAUUAAUUCAUUACAAAAAAUUAGCAUAUAAUAUUUUUAUUGGGGAUUUUUGAUAGCAAAUUUGACUAAGCUUUUAAACAAAAAAAAUGAUUAAGCAAUAGUUUUGUCUUUAUAAAAUAUAUUUUUAAUAACUAGAUAUAAAACAUAUAAAGAUUAAUCAUAAAAAUAAUUAAUUAAAAUAAUAAAUAAGAUUAAUAUCUAAUAUUUAUAUUUAAAGUAAUAGAAUUUGUAGUCAUCUAAGUUUCAAAAUGUAAGAUAUAUAAUUAAGUAUGGUCAAUUUUUAAUAAAGCUUUAUUUCAAUAGAGGUUUUUUUAUUAUUAUUUUUUAUUAUUAUUAUGGUUAUUAUUAUAGACUUAAAUUACCUAUAAUCAGUAAACUUUGUUGAACCAUUCAAUAUUAAAUCAUGUGGAGCAAAGUAUGUAUAUAUAAUGAUGAUGACUUUUAGGAAUUAAAUAGAACUUGUAGCUUUGUAGAAAAAUUCAUCUAAGUUGGCUAUGUUAACAUUCGUAGAUUAUAAAUUAAUACGCUUUAAAGUACUAAGUAAGGUAUUGAAAAAUCAAAGUAAUAAGUUUUUUGAUACUUUUGAAGAAUAUUUUACCAAAUUUUUAAUUAAUUACAAAACUCUUUUUAAUGAAUAUAUAAAAAUGGUAGUUCAGUUGAAGAAAGUCUUUAAAUAAUAGAAUUCAAAUUAUAAAAAUUAAGUUUGUUUGUGGCAAUCAUUGUUACUUGGACUUAAUAUUACAAUACAUUGGUAUAAGAUACCAAUGUAAUAGACAUGUGGUUCUGACAUCUUAUAGUCCAAAUUAUUUGAUAAAUGAAUAAGAGUCCAUUUUAUCCAACUUAAUAUCCAAUAAACUAGCUCUCAUUAUAGAUUUAGAUGAAAAAAUAUGUUUAAACUCAAUAAUUAUAGGAGCAAGAAAAAUUCUUUGAAUGUUCUUUGCCUACAAUGAUAAAAAUUUGAAUAUUAUAUAAUAUUAUAAUAUUUUAAGUAAAAUUAUUAACCUUAAUUUUGGAUUUAAUUUAAAAAAUAUUAUAUUUACAUUCCAAGUAAAGAUCUUACAAAACUUGAUGUAUAGAUAAGCCACAUGAUUCUUUAAGUAAAGAAAGUGCUAUCUAAUAAUAUCUUGUUAUUUAAAGACAAAGUAAUACUUACUUAUUGGAUAAAUUUAAUUUAAUAAGAUGUUUGUUAGUAUUCUAAAAAUAAUUUAAAAUAUUACUAGUUCUUUUAGUAUAACACAAAUUAUUUUUUUAAAAAAAGUGAUUCUUAAUAAUUUACUAGUAUAAGGAGAAGAAUAAAAUAGAUUAAUUUAUAAAGAAAUAGAAUAAAAAUAAAAAAAGACAAGAAUGAAGUAAUUUUAUAGUUAUAAAAAAAAUUGGGAUUUCAAAUUAGAGAUUUUAAAAUAUCAAAUGGAAACAUUUAGGGUAUUAAUAAAAAAAUAUAAGGUAAUAAAUAAAACAUUUCAACACAUCAAUUAGAAGAUUUUAGAAUACUUUUCAGAUGCUUAUAGGUUAAAAAUGUAGAUAUCUGUAUAGUAUUAAUAUAAUAUAAUUAUUUAUUUUAGAAUAUAAGUAAAAGUAUCAAUUUUAAAACAAAAAUUCAAAGAAAAUAGCCAAAAUAAAUAGGAUUUCUUAUAAAAUUUAAAGAUAUAUAUAUAUAUAUAUAUAUAUAUAUAUAUGUUUUAAUUAGAAGUAUAUUUUCUUUUCAUUGGCAAUAUAUAUUUUCUUUUCAAAGUUACAACACGUACAAUUAUAUAUAUUUUAAUUACAACACAUGUGUGGUAUGCAUUUUGCAGUAGAAAAAAACUUGUAAGCUCCAAUUAAAAUCUCCUGAAAUCUCUUAGAAACCUUCAAAAAACUCAUCAAAUUCUGAAAAAUGCUGCACAUUUUCUUAAGUCUAAUUAUGAACUUCAUAAGAUAUCAACUUGCAUUCACAUGACAUUCAACAUUUCUGAAAAAAAAAAAAAAAUCGAUUUCCUUAAUGUAUUUCAUUACAGCUAAAACAUACAUGUAAAUUGAAAAAUAUUAACAAUUCAUAUUUAAAUGAUUUUAAAAUAACUAAAAAAAACACAAGCAUGCCAAAUACAUAGUGAAGCUAGGUGCCUGUACCGAUGAACGCCAAAGCUCCAAAAUAAAAUGCUUCCAACGGAACCUUUAACAAGAAGCAAUUCUUCAUUUACAUCUUCAAAAGUUCUAAAAAUAGAGCAACUCCUCCGAGCCACUUCAACAAACUCAGGGCAGAACAUACGGUAACUCAUCAAUCCACGUAAAUGGACUAGCUCCACAGCAACUCAGGGUCGCUUGUGGCAUAAAUUCAACGAAUAGUUCGCUAAACACAUCCUCUACAACAUAAAAAUUGACAACUCCUCGUAGGCGAGGCCUCCAACCGGAAGCCUCACAUGGUAGCCUUUCAUGGAUCCCGCACCUGAGAUAUCGGUAGAAACAGGUUCCGUGGCAAUCCCUCCGCCGUCUCGCGCUGCCAAAAACGUGACUUCAUCAUUUUCGAUAAAUUUUCAAAAAAAUCGCAAGAAAUUCACGACCAAAGUACAGUCAUGUGUUUCCCACAUGUGCACCAUUCUGAUUUCCCCCACAAUAGACACUCGGACAUCCUCGACUGAUAAUCUGAUGUAUCCUCGCCCCCUCAAAUGGCACUUUCUUUGCGUCUCAACAUUCGCGUGAGAGAUCCCUGCGACAGCGGAGGAAGUUGGAAAACUUCCCAAUUUCGCUCGCAUCUCUUCACAAACCUUUUCAUCAACUCCCGAACCCAACUAGCAUGGUCUAAUUUAGUAACCGCGCUUAGAUACCAAGACAUUUCCUCUCAUGUCCUCGUUGCUUUUCACGGAUGUGACGAUCAUUGAUUAGGAAAAAAAUGAGCUAUUGCGGAGCAAUGAUUGCUCCUAUCAGACGGAAACACAAAACACAUGGGCUACUUCACGCGGCAACCAGACUUGAGCAAGGCAACUCGCGAAUACCUCAGUAAACCUCGACGUGCCACUGCUUGUUCUUCUUGAGCUUGGCAAGCUUCUCAUCCCAUUUCUCUCCUCUAGAUUCCGCCACUCUCUGCAGGGUGACCUGAAAUCCGGGCAUCAUGCCCCUCAGUCCACAAAAGUAGAUGUGUGCGCCCGUGUCGAGCAAGUUGAACAGCUCCUCGCUGUAAUCCUCGAUCUUGUCCUGGACGUACAUCAUGUUAUAAAUAGAGAUUGAUUUCAAAAGAUAAUAUUAGUGUUACAGAUUGCUGGUUAUAUCGUGACUCCGAAUGUCCUGUGCGGUAGUGGAUCUAAAUUGUUUUUACGGUGCGGUUAGGCCUUCGUAACAGGGAGACUGCGAAUUGACUGUGUUCGUUUACAUCCAGAGCUGGAUGAUACAUGAGAGAAGAAGUGCGUCGUUCAUUUCCAACAGAGACAAGUCGGAUAAUUCCAACACCCCCUCGCGACUUGAUGGGGGAAUCCUAUGGAGGUCAUCAGUUUAAAAGAAGAGUGAGAAUGCAAAGGGAGAAAAUUAAUCACAAUGGCGAGAGAGAGGAAGGUAGUAGGAAUAGAAAAAGGGACUGCUUGAAAUCGAUGCUGGAAGUAACAGUCGUAGUAAUACGCAGCCUGAGUGAGGCACUAGAAGGUGUCUCAAUUCGUUGACAGAGGAAGGGGAGUUGAGGCCCGUGAAUGAGCAGUCAGAAAUCCCUGAAGCAGUCAAUCAAUUUCAUACAUUCGUUGAAGAGUAGCGAUUGCCUGAGGAACAGCGACCACCCAAGAUACACGAGGCAGUAUGGAGUGGAGAAAGUAUGUUUGCUCCAGAAAUUUUCCAGCGUGGUAGAUUUUAUGCUGUUGCAAUCGGUGUGCGCCCGGGAAUCUAUGAAACACCGUUGUUUGCCCGAAGAAUUGCAUAGAUUGGAAACAUGUAUCUUGUGCUCAGGCUGCAGCUUGAAGCGGUUGUAAUUCCCCGAUUUCGGGAUAGGUCGCAAUCAUGAAGAAAGGGGAGAUGAGCAUCCCGAAGAUCAGAUGUAAUAGUAGAGUCUGAGGUAUGGAGAGAAGCUGGAGAACCAACGAGGCUAAGUUAAGAGAGAAGUCGAUGAAGAUAUUCAGCUUCUUUAGCCCCGUCGUUGAUGUUAAAGUAAAAGUAGAAUAAGUUACCUUAUAGAGGAUAUUAACUUAGGUAAGUUGCUAGUGGUCAAAGGUUUGACUCUUUGUAUACGGUAAGGGCAUCCAAUGGAUAUAGGACAAAGUCAUGGACCAAGAGUCAAAGUCAAAAGGAUAAAGAAUUAAAAAGGGAAUAUCCAAAGACUAAGUAUGAAUCAUUGGUGUGUAUCAUAGGAUACCCUCAAGCCUCAUGAGAUGCCAAAAAGAUCCUAGGACCACAUGUGCAAAAGUCAAAGAGUGGAAGUUAUCUUUUAAGGUAGCAACUACUACCUAUAAGUAAUGGAUAUUGGAAGUGAGAGAUAUCUUAUUUCAUACUCUCUUUGUCUGCAACCUUGCUGAUGCUAAGUGUUCUGUCUUCAAAGUGCUUGUUUUUCAAUAGGUUAUGGAUCCACUUAUCUUUACUUGUGACUUUUGAAGUACUUUGAAGUCUUUCUUGUUGUGAGGAAUAGAUCUUAUGGUUGAUACUGAAGUUUGAAUUUGCUCUCUUCUAACCCUUCUUAUACAUCUAGUUAUUGAUGUAGUUUUUACUUUUACUUAUUGUUAAGUGCAUUGAUAGUCUUGGUUGAUGUUAGAUUCCAUAUAAUGAUGUUUUAGAAUUUUAGUAUUGAAUUUCUUUGCUGAGUUUCAUUAUUGAUGCUCUAACUUUGUGCUUUCAAAUACUUAACUUCGCAAGAGAUUCUCCUAUUUGUUAUAAGAAGUGUUUUGUGUGAUUAGAAGCAUUUUGUGAAAGAGGGGUGAUUGAAGAGUGGCAAUGCUUAUGGUAGAGGUUUAGAUAGAGUAUAAGACUUGUAAGAAGUCUUAUUUGUGAAGUUGAGAGUGAUACAAGAGUGAAAUCACUUAUGUAAUUACAAAGAGGGCAUUCUGGGUUUCUAAGACAGCAACACCUUUUUGUUGAUUUUGAGAGUUCUAUCUUCUCUUUUCUUGAUUUUCUUUCACACAUCCCUUCCCUAGACAUGGCUUCAAGUAAAGGUGAGAGCUUGAGAGUGAUUGAAAAGUUUAGAGGUAACAAAUUUUAUCAUUGGAAGAAGAAAAUGGAGCUUUUGUUGGCUUCAUUGGACCUUUGGGACAUUGUUGAUGAAAGUGAAGACCUUCCAAGUGACAAUGCUGAUAUCAAAGUGAAGAAGAAGUACAAACGUUGUGAAAGGAAGGCUUUUGGGAUGAUUGCAACAAACCUUGAUAAUGCCAAUUUUUCACAUGUUAUAGCUUGUAAUGGACCAGCAGAAGCAUGAAAGACUCUUUGCAACAUCUAUGAGAGUAGAAACCUUGUCAACAUCCUUUUGACAAGGAAGAAGUUCUUGACAGUAAAGAUGGAAGAAGGAGAUGACCUCAUGGCUCAUGUUAACAAAGUAAAAGCACUUGCUAACUAAUUAGCAGUUGUUGACAAACUAGUUGAUAAUAAGGACAUUAUAUUGGCAUUGUUCAUGAGCCUUCCCGAAUCCUACAACUACCUCAUUGUGGCAUUGGAGUCGAUCAACAUGAAGGAGCUUACCAUGAACUAUGUCACGUCAAGACUCGCCCAUGAAGUGACCAAGAGGAAAGAAAAUGAGCUUAUAAGUGAUGAUUUGGCUCUAUUUUCAAGACAAGGCAAAGAUAGCUAUUCUCACCAACAUAAUAAUUUUAAAAGUAAUAUGAAGAAUUGCUAUAUUUGUGGAAAACUAGAUCAUUUUGCUAGAAAUUGCUACAAGGCCAAGAAAAGAGAUAGAAAAAAUACAAACAAUGCAACUAAUAGUUUUGGUGGAGCUGAGUAUGCUUUCAUAGCAAAGGAAGGAGCCUCCAUGACUGCCAUAUCAAAGUGGAUUAUAGAUUUAGAUGCUAGUAAGCACAUGACACUAUACAAGUAUUCAUUUGACACUUAUGAAGAAAUUCCAGCAACAAAAAUGUGGUUGGGAGACAAUGGCAUAGUACAAGCCAUUGGAAUUGGUUCCAUUGUAGUGAAGAUUGUUGUGAAGGACCAAUUGAAGAGGAUCAGAUUGAAAGAAGUCCUACAUGUGCCAAAAAUGAAGAAGAACCUCCUUUCGGUGAGCAAACUUGUAUCACAUGGUUGUAAGGUUCAAUUUGACAUGAAUGGAUGUUUUGUCAAGACAUUGGAUGGCCAACAUGUUGCCAAAGGCCUUAGAGAUGGAAAUCUCUACUUCAUCAAUUGCAAAAAGGUGAAUGGAAUUGAAGUCGUGGCAUUUGCUGAUUUUCCACAAGAUCAAGACAAGUUUGAAAUUUGGCAUCAAUGACUUCCUCAUUUGAAUGCCAAAUGCAUGAAGGAGCUCCAAUCCAUGGUAAGUGGCUUGGAUCUUAGUCAAUUCAGCCACAAUGCCAUGACAUUUGCUUGUCAAGGAUGUAUACAAGGCAAACAACAAAGAGAUUCAUUUCCAAGUGGAGUUGCAAUACGUGCAACAAAAUUAUUCGAGAUUGUGCACUCUGAUGUUUGUAGACCAAUGAAGACACCAUCAAUUGGAGAAGGAAGGUACUUUGUCACAUUCAUAGAUGAUUUUUCAAGAGAGGUGUGGAUUUACAUCAUUAAAGCUAAAAGUGAAUGUUUCUCAAGGUUUAAGGAGUUUAAGGUUCUUGUAGAGAAACAAUGUGAGUGCAAGAUCAAAGUGUUGAGAACGGACAAUAGAGGUGAAUACAUUUCAAAGCAUUUUGAUGAAUUCAUGAAGAUUCAAGGUAUUGCAAGACAAACCUCUACUCCUUACACUCUACAACAAAAUGGAGUUGGUGAAAGUACAAAUCGGACCAUUGUAGAGAUAGCAAGGAGUAUGCUUCAUACACAAAACCUUCGGCAUGAAUAUUGGAUGGAAGGUGUGAUAAAUGUGGUGUAUACAAGGAAUAGGUGCCUUACAAGUGCUCUUACAUCAAUGACUCCUCAAGAAGCUUGGAGUGCGAAGAAACCUUGUGUUUCAUAUAUGAAGAUUUUUGGAUGCAUUGCUAAUGCAAAAGUACCAGAUUUUAUGAGGUCCAAACUUGAUCUAAAAGAUUCAAAAUAUGUAUUUGUUGAAUAUUGUGAAGGUACUAAAGCAUAUAGGCUAAUGUGUUUAGAAACCAAGAAGAUCAUCAAAAGUCGUGAUGUAAGUUUUUGGAGUAUAAGAGUAUUUUUGAGCACUUGGGAGAGUGUUCAAGUGGGAGUGAAGGUGUGUUUGUGAACACAGCUUCAAGUUCAACAAAGAAAGAAGAAGAAGAAGAUGAUGAUGAGAAUGAGGAUGGAGGAAAUAGAAGUCAAGAUCAAGUGCCAAAGAAGGUAAAUCAUAGUGUGCCUUCAAUUGCUAGAACCAACAAUGAAGACAACGAAGAUAUUGAAGGUGAUGAUCUUGAUGAAGAAUAUCAAUUUUUGAAUGAGAAAAGACAAGCAUUGAAGAAGAAGAAGGUUGAAAGAGAGGAUGGAAUGCAAGAAGAAAGGUCUUCUUCAAACGAAAAGAGAUAUCAUUUGAGAAAAAGAAAACCACGUGGUGAAUGGUAGAAGGACCACAUCUUUCCUCAAGUAAGUGAAGAAUAUGCCAAUGUUGCACUUCUUGCUGGUCCAUUGAGUUUAUGUGAUGCCAUAAAGUCCACGGAUGUGUUAAAGUAAGAAAAUGCCAUGGAAGAAGAAUACAAAUCACUCAUGGACAAUGGAACAUGGAAAUUGAUUCAACUUCCAUCAAAUCGAGCUUCAAUUGGUUGUAAGUAGGUGUUUAGAACAAAGAGGGAUGCAAUGGAUAAUGUUAUGAGGUAUAAGGCAAGAUUGAUUACAAAAGGCUACUCACAAAUUAAUGGUAUGGAUUUCAAUGAGACAUUUGCUCUCGUGGCCAAAUUCACCACCAUUAGAACCAUUGUGGCAAUUGGAGCAGCAAUGGACUUGGAGAUACAUCAAAUAGAUGUGAAGAUGGCUUUCUUGAAUGAAAGUUUGGAAGAAGACAUCUACAUGGAGCAACCUCAAGGAUUUGUUGAAGAAGGCAAACAACACCUUGUAUGUAAGUUGAAGAAAUCCUUGUAUGGGUUAAAGCAAUCACCAAGGGCAUGGUACCAACGUAUUGAUACAUUCUUUAUGAAUGAAGGAUUUGUAAGGAGUGAGGCUGAUCAUUCCUUAUAUGUAAUGCAAUCAAAUAAGUUUAUAUUGAUUGUCAUCCUCUAUAUUGAUGAUUUGAUCAUCUUAACCAAUAACUGAAGAUGAUGGAUUGGUUGAAGAUAAAUUUAAAAAAGGAGUAUAAAAUGAGUGAUUUGAGAGAGCUUCACUAUUGUUUAGGAGUGGAGUUUGUUAGAGAUCGUGCUAAGAAGACCAUUAAAAUGAGCCAAAGCAAGUACAUUGAAGAAGUAUUGAAAUGAUUCAACAUGGAGGAGUGUAAGCCUAUUGGAACACUAUUAGAGGCAAACUUAAAGUUGAUGAAGCUCACGGAUGAAGAGUUUGCUGAAGUUGAAGGUCAAAUACAAGGUGUUCGAUACAAGACAGCAGUAGGCUCACUUAUGUAUGCAAUGGUUGGCACAAGGAUAGAUCUUGCAUAUGCGAUGAGUGUUGUGAGUCAACACAUAUUAAAGGCUGGACCAAUCCAUUGGGCAACCAUCAAAAAGAUCAUGAGGUACUUAAAAGGUACUUUGAACUUCAAAUUAUGCCUUGGAGGUAAUAAUAUUAGUUUACAUGGUUAUAGUGAUGUGGAUUGGACUGGAGAUGCAAAUGAUAGAAGGUCAACAAUGGGAUAUUUAUUCUUAGUUGGAGUUGGAGCAAUUUUAUGGAAUUGCAAGAGACAAGCAAUAAUUGUGAGGACAAUAAUGGAGGCGAAGUCAAUGGCAGCAAGCCAUGGUGCAAUAGAGGCAAUAUGAUUGAGACAACUUUUAGAGGACGUUGGAGAUGUACAAAUGGAAGUAACUCCAAUGGAGUGUGACAAUCAAGGAUGUCUUGCAUUUACAAAGAAUCCAAAGCAUCAUUCAAAGACCAAGUAUAUUGACAUUCAACAUCACUUUAUAAGAGAGAAGAUUAAAAUGGGAGUGAUUGAUAUGAAGUAUUGUGCAAUGGAGGAAAUACUUAUUGAUUUUUUGACAAAGGCAUUAGUAAAAGAUAGACACUACAUGAUGAUAAAGGCAUUUGGAUUAAAAGCCAUUUGAUAAAUAAUAAAUUGGGAGUAUUAAAGUAAAAGUAGAAUAAGUUACCUUAUAGAAGAUAUUAACUUAGGUAAGUUGCUAGUGGUCUAAGUUUUGACUCUUAGUAUAUGGUAAGGACAUCCAAUGGAUAUAGGACAAAGUCAUGGACUAAAAGUCAAAGUCAAAAGGAUAAAGAAUUAACAAAGAAAUAUCCAAAGACUAUGUAUGAGUCAUUAGUGUGUGUCAUAGGUUAUCUUCGAGCCUCGUGAGAUGCCAAAAGGAUCCUAGCACUACGUGUGUAAAUGUCAAAGAGUUUAAGUUAUCUUUUAAGGUAGCAACCACUACCUAUAAGUAAUGGAUGUUGGAAGUGAGAGAUAUCUUACUCCAUAUUCUCUUUGUGUUCAACCUUGCUAAUGCUAAGUAUUGUAACUUCCAAGUGCUUGUUCUUCAAUAGUUGAGAGCUUUAUAUUCAGACUCAGUACUAUUAUCAGAAACAGUAGAUUGACGCUUUCUAAUCCACGUGAUAGGACAGGUACCAAGCUAGAAGAUAUAGCCACCAGUGGAACGUCAGAUAUCAUUGCAGCCAAGGUAUUCAACAUCAGUGAAGCCACAAAAAAUAAAAAAAUUACUAGAUGGAAAAAAUGUACCAAAAUCUGAAGUGAACUAAUAUAGCAUAGAAUACGUUUAGCAGCAUCUAGAUGGUACUAUUAGGAAGCAGACAUGAAGCAUGCCAUUAAUCCAACAGAGAAAGAAAUAUCGGGCCAGGUGUUAGUGAGAAAAAACAAAUGGUCAACAAGAUGAUAGUAAGAGGUGGGAUCGAUGAGAGGAGAAGAGGUUUGUGAAGAGAGAAGAAGACCAUCAGAGAGAGAAGUGAAGGUAGGACGACAUUAUAACAUGUUAUAAUCAGAAAGGAGUUGAUAAAUAUAAGGAGACUGAUGAAGGUCAAGACUAAUGGAAGUACAGAAGAACUCAAUACCAAGAUACUUCUGAAUCAAGCCGAGAUCUUUCAUCUCAUAUUUGAAAGUUGGCAUGGUAUUAAUGGAAGCAACUUGAAUAGGAUUGCUUCCAGUAACAAGAAGAUUGUCGAUGUAAAGUAGAAUGAUAAGAAUCUCAACACCAAGAAAUUGAUUAUAAAGAUUAGAGUCAACGCAGCUUUUAACCUAUCUCUAAGAUUUAAGAAAUAUGUCAAUCUCUUGGUACCAAGCUUGGAGAGACUACUUCAUCCCAUAGAUCAAUUUUGAGUAGAGGACAGACCAAGUCGGGAUGCUGAGGGACAAUGAAGCGAGGUGGUUGUUCCAUAUAGAAGGUCAGGAGGAGAGAGUGAUAAAGAAACCCAGUUGAAUUUCCAGAAAGAUAAUGUUAUGACUAAUGAAAAUACUAAGACGCACUCGGUCAUAACACUUGUAAGCCUUAGAAUUAUUAUCAUAGUCUACAAAAAUAGUAGGGAUAGAUUUAAUUUGAAGUUUAUAAUGAAAAAGAGAGGAAAUAUGCAUGUAAGCAGUAUAGCCCAGUAUACAAAGAUGAGAGACAGAUGGCUUAUGGCUAUAGAAAGCUUAAAAAGGAGUCCGAUAAAGGGCUUGAGUACCACAACGAUUUAAGAGAUAGGUAGCACUGCAAACAGCUUCAGGACAAAGAAAAGAAGAAAACUGAGCAGAAAGAGAGAUGGUACGAGCAGCCUAGAGAAGAGUACAAUUUUUAUAUUUAGCUACUUUGUUUUGAUGUGGGCAAUAGACGGGAGUAGGCUGGCGGUGAAUCCCAUGAGAAAGGCACAGAAUUAGAGGAACUCUAUAGACAUAUAUUUCUUACCACAAUCAGAGCAUAGAACAGAAAUGGUGGACAGAAAUUGAGUAGAAACAAGGGCAUGGAAUUUGUUUAAAUCUAAGAAAGGUCUCAGAUUUUGAUUACAGAAAGAAUAUCCAAGUAAAAUGGAAAAAAUCAUUGAUAAAAGUAAGAAGAUACUUAAGAUUAGAGGAAGAUAUAAAAGGUCCACAAAGGUUAGAAUGAAUAAGUUGAAAAAGACGUGUACUACUGGAAGAAGAGUGUUUAGGAAUAUAUUAUGGUAUUUUUUAGGUAGAAUACAUGGGAUGCAUUGACGUUUGACAAGAGGAAGAUCUAGGACGUUAUCAACCAACUGUUGAGCAGACAUAUAGUGAGUCAUUUGAUAGUGCACAUGACCCAAACAAUUGUGCCAUAGAUCUGAAAGGUCAAUUGUAGAGUUAGAAGAAGUGAGAGAAAAUGCAUAGAGAUGGAAAGGAAGAAGGUUAAGAACGAGACAGAAUGCUGUAGAGAUUGUAACGACGAUCACAAAUAUCAUAUAAAUGGACAAAAGAAGAUUGUUACCGAUCAUAUGUACAACGAGAUUCAGAGUCAAAGAAGACGUUGAAAUCCUCUUUAGUGAUCUUGUCAACAGAUAUGAAAUUCUUGGAAAUACCAGAGACGUACAAUAUAUUACAAAUAUCUUUAUUAUCAACCUGAAUAGUCCCUUUUUUAGCAACAUUGAUGCUCUAUCUACUAAAAGUAGUUACCAGAGGUACCAAAGAAGAAGAAGGAGCAUAGCUGCUAAAUGAGCUAUAAUCACCGAAGACAUGAGUGUUUACUCCAUAAUUGAGAAACCAAUCAUUAAUAUCAAUUUUAGAGGUAAAAUUGAUGGAAUCCUCAAUAUAAUUAUUGAAGAAAUAUAAUAAGAAAGAUACAAGUAAGUAGAAUCAAAUUGUUAUUUUAACACUCUUACUUUGCUCUUGGUCAAAGGCUUUUAAACCUAGUGCCUUGGUCAACUUUUGAUGCCUAUCUUUUACUUAUGCUUUUGUUAGGAAAUCAGCAAGCAUGCAUUCUAUUUCACAAUACUUCAAAUUAAUCACUCCCAUUUUAAUCAUCUCUCUUAUGAAGUGUUUUUGAAUGUCAAUGUACUUGGUUCUUGAGUCAUGCUUUAGAUUCUUUGUAAAAGCAAGACAUCGUUAAUUAUCAUACUUCAUUAAAGUUGCUUCCUAUUGCACAAGUCCAAUGUCUUCUAAAAUUUGUCUUAGACAAAUUACGUCCAUUACACCUUGACUUGCUGCUAUAUAUUCUGUCAUUAUCAUCGAUCUUGCAAUUAUAAGUUGUCUCUUACAAUUCCAUGAAAUUGCUCCCAUUCCAACAAAGAACACAUAUCCCAUUUGUAAUCUUCUAUGAUUUGUAUCUCCAAUCUAAGCCGCAUUACAACAACCAUGUAAUGGAAUAUUAUAUCCUCCAAGCCAUAAUUUGAAGUUCAAAGUGCCUUUCAAGUACGUCAUAAUCUUCUUGAUGGUUGUCCAAUGGAUUGGUCCAAGCUUUGACAUGUAUUGACUUACAAUACUCAUGGCAUAUGCAAGUUCCAUUCUUGUAUCAAUUAUUGCAUAUAUAAGUGAGCCUACUACUGUUUUAUAUAAAAAAUCUUUUAUUUCAUCUUCAACUUUAGCAAAUUCUUCAUAUGUGUGCUUCAUUAAAUUCAAAUUGACCUCCAAAGGUGUUCCAAUGGGCUUCCACUCUUUCAUGUUGAAUUUUUUCAAUACUUCUUCAAUGUACUUGCUUUAGAUGAUUGUAAUGGUCUUGUUACUACAAUCUCUUACAAAUUUCACUCUUGAGUAAUAAAAGAGUUCUUCAAAUAUGAUUAAAUCAUCAAUAUAGAAGAUGAUAAUUAAUAUAAACUCAUUUGAUUGCAUCACAUAUAAGACAAGAUUAGCUUUACUCUUUACAAAUUCCUCUUUCAUAAAGAAUGUGUCUAUAUAUUGGUACCAUGUACUUAAUGAUUGUUUUAGUCCAUACAAAGAUUUCUUCAACUUAAAAACAAGGUUUUCUUUUCCUUCUUUUAUAAAUCCUUAAGAUUGAUCCAUACACUUGUUUUUUUUCAACUUUUCAUUCAAAAAAGCCACCUUCACAUCCAUUUGAUAUAUCUCCAAGUCCAUUAUUAUUCCAAUUAUAACAAUGAUUCUAAUGAUAGUAAAUUUGGCCACAUAAGAAAAUAUCUCAUUGAAAGUAAUACUAUCAACUUAUAAGUAGCCUUUGGCAACCAAUCUAGACUUGUAUCUUACAACAUUACCCAUUGCAUUUCUUUUGGUUCUAAAUAUCCACUUACAACCAAUUAAAGAUCAAUUUUUAGGAAGUUGAAUCAAUUUCCAUGUUCUAUUAUUUAUGAGUGAUUUGUAUUCUUUUUCUAAAGCCUUCUUCUACUUCAUACUAUCCAUGGACUUCAUUGCAUCACAUAAAUUCAACGGAUUAGUAAGAAGUGCUAUAUUGGCAUAUUCUUCAAUUACUUGAAGAAAGAUGUGGUUUUUCUACCAUUCAUCAAGUAGUCUUCUUUCUUUCAAUACAAAAUAUUUUGUAACAAAUUCUUUAGAUUAUAUUAUAUAUAGUGAAUGAUUAGCCUCACUCUUUAUAAACUCCUUUAUUCAAUAAAAUAUUCAUAAAAUAUGGAUAUGAUUAGAAGAAUUAUAAUAUAUUGAUUUAUUGAAAGUUGAGGAUGCUACAAAAAGAGUUCUAUGGAGUCUGGAAUUGUAUGAAGCAGAUUAUUAGAAAUGAUAAUUAAUUUUGGAGCAUUCCAGCAAUUAGAUUAUGAAAUAUUUUAUGUAGUCUUUUAUGAUAGUAUAAUAUUACCUAUUAUUGUCAUAAGUUAAGAAAGGAGAAGAGACAGUGAAUACAAAAGAUAGAAUUUUUUAUUGUAAUAUUUUAUUUGAUAGAAUGUGGAAGGCAUUGUAGCUUUAUUGGGUGUUUUAGUUGAUCAAGAGACAAUUAAUUGUGUGAUCCUAACAUAAAAACUCAUGUAGAUACUCUUUCUCUAUGUUCAAAUCCUCCCUAUACAAGUUUAUUCUGAUUAGAUUAGUUUAAAAUAAGUAAAAAGAUAAUGACAUUUUAGUGCUGUUACUAGAGAAUUGAUAAUAGUAUUGAGUGUUAGGAAUUAAUUACUAAACGUGUGAUUGUAGAUGUUAUACGAAGAGGUUAUAAAAUUGAUGUUGGUUUGAAAGUGAAGCCAAAUAUGUAGUUGGAUUGGAGAUAGAAAGAAAUUUCAAUAUUAUAUGAUGAAAGAUUAUGGUUAAUAAAAAUGAGAAUAUUAUACUAAAAAAAAAUACACGAGUUGAAAGGAAGAUAAGAGAGAGCACAAGCAAGAAAUUUGUUGCAAGACAAGCAAGAACAUAACCUAAAAAAGAAGUGUCAAUAGAGUUGGAUUAAAUCAUUAUUGCAUGCCUAUCAACAUAUCUGAGCAUACCAAAAACUUGACAAAACGUUAAUAAUUUAAUCAUAUAUAUUGUUAAAAAAAUUAUCAAGAAUACUCAUGAGAAAUUUUAUCAACAAUCCAAUAUAUUUCUUGAGUCCAUUAACUGAAAGUAAAGAAGGUACAAAAAGAUUGGAUACUCCAUUGGAUACUUUCUCAAUAGCAGAUACAACCGAUUUUAGCAAGACUGAUUCUUUAGAAUGGCAUAAAUUACUUACCAAUAAGGGCCAGUUUAGCGUGUUUCAAAAUCCAUUGUUUUCACCUUUAAUUAAAUCAAUAAAUUAUUUAUGAAUAAUAAUAGCAAAUUGAGUAGGAUGAAAAGUUUGAAAAAGAUAAUUGGAGAAGUUAGUAUUUAUUUUAAUAAGAAAUUAAGUAAAACAUUGAUAUCUUCAAUAGCGGCGAGGGACCUAGCAAUUCUAAUUACAGUUCAAAUGGGUGCAGUGGGUGAUCACAUAACUAAUAUAGAUUCAUUAUUUAUUUUUAGAGGUUUAUUAGGUGUAGAUUCAAAUCAACAUAUGUCUUAGUUUCUGAGUGUAUAUGUAGCCAAUAAUAGUAGAAUUAAAAAUAUUUGAUUGAGAUGGCUACUAGCGAUCUUGAAAGAUAUAACAUUUGAAUAAUAUAAUCGCCAGCAUGUGGAUUAAUUUUUUAAUUGGGAGGCAUUGAAAAAUACGUUUUUAAUCCAUUUUUGACCAAUUGGAUUUGAAAAACAUCUCAAAGAAAGGUUAAUGAAUAGUAGAAUGAUAUCAAGAGAAGUAAUGCAAUCAUAUUAUGGACGAGUAAUAGAUAUCCUUUGUAAAUGGUCAAUUAAUCAAAUAUCAAAAUUAUUUAUUUUGUCUAUAUUGGUAAAUGGACUAUAUCCACAAAAAUUGAAGAUAUUUAUAAAAGAGGCAUGAUUAGCCAUUGUUGCUUCUUUACUUCAUCAAGUUAAGAUAUGAAAAGAAUAUCAUUAUGAAUAAUUCUUAACUAUAGGAGCCACAAUUAUUCCAUCUCAGGGAGGUUAUAAAAUGCCAGCAAUGGGUAGUUAUCCAAAAAUAAUUGAUUAUGAUGCAAAUCUUAGUACUAAUCUGCAAGAAAUAAUUAAUGCUAUUCCAUUGCAGGUUGUAUUGAAACAUAGAAAGCAAACUCCACACAAGCAAGUUAGGACCAGCAAGGUUGCACUUCACAAAUAGAAUGUGGUAUGAGAUGAUUCUUCCCAUGCCAACCCUUUUCUUAUAUACUAGUACCAAGGUACCAUGUGUUACAACCCAUAUGGGAUAUUUCAUAGGACCAGCCCUCUCCUUGUAUUCUAAGGCACUAUAGACCAGCAACUAACCUUGUAGGAUAUCCCUCAUUACUCAUAUACUCUAUUGACCAUUAGCAACAACUAAAUGAGUUCUUUCCUUCAACACUCCCACUUUGCUAUUGGUCAAUUAGCUAUCAAUCCUAAUGCCUUACUCAAUAUGUUGUGUCUCUCUUUCACCAAGGCUUUUGUUAGCAAAUCAGCCAACAUGUCUUUGGUUUCACAAUACAUCAUAUCAAUAACUCCCAUCUCUAUCUUCUCUCUUAUAAAGUGGUGUUGAAUAUCAAUGUGCUUGGUUCUUGCAUGAUGCUUUGGAUUCUUUGCAAAAGCCAAACAUCCUUGAUUGUCACAUCUCAAUGGAGUGGCUUCCAAUUGCACAAGUCCAAUGUCUUCCAACAACAACCUCAACCAAAUUGCCUCCAUUGCUCCAUGACUUGCUGCCAUAUACUCCGCCUCCAUUGUGGACCUUGCAAUGGUUGGUUGUCUCUUACAAUUCCAAGAUAUGGCUCCCAUUCCAACAAAGAAUACAUAGCCCGUUGUUGAACUUCUAUCAUUUGUAUCUCCAGCCCAAUCCGCAUCACAAUAUCCAUGUAAUGCAAUAUUAUUUCCUCCAAGACAUAGUUUAUGGUUCAAAGAGCCUUUCAAGUACCUCAUGAUUCUUUUGAUGGUUGCCCAAUGCAUAGGACCUGGUUUUGCCAUGUGUUGACUUACAACACUUACUGCAAAUGCAAGAUCCAUCCUUGUACCCACCAUUGCAUACAUGAGUGAGCCUACGGCUGCCUUGUAUGGUAUGCCUUGCAUUUGAUGCUCCACUUCAGCAUAUUCCUCAUCCGUGAGCUUCAUCAACUUCAAGUUGGCUUCCAAAGGAGUUCCAAUGGGCUUGCAAUCUUGCAUAUUGAAUCGUUUCAAUACUUCUUCAAUGUACUUGCUUUGACUCAAUGUGAUGGUCUUUGAUACUCUAUUCCUUGUAAAUUCCACAUCCAAACAAUAAUGAAGCUCUCCCAAAUCACUCAUUUCAAACUCUUUCUCCAAUUUCUUCUUCAACCAAUCUAAUUUUACCAUGGUGUUGCUUAAGAUGAUUAAAUCAUCUACAUAGAGGAUCACAACCAGCAAGAAGUCCUUGGCUUGCAACACAUACAAAGAAUGGUCAGCUUCACUUCUUAUAAAACCUGCCUUCACAAAGAAUGAGUCAAUGCGUUGAUACCAUGCUCUUGGUGAUUGCUUGAGUCCAUACAAUGACUUCUUCAACUUGCAUACAAGGUUGGAUUUGUCUUGAUCAAUAAAUCCUUGAGGUUGCUCCAUGUAAAUGUCUUCUUCCAAUUCUCCAUUCAAGAACGCUGUCUUGACGUCCAUUUGAUGCAUCUCCAAGUCUAUUGAUGCUCCAAUUGCUACUAUGGUUCUAAUGGUAGUGAAUUUGGCCACUGGAGCAAAUGUCUCAUUAAAAUCCACUCCAGCAAUUCGUGAGUAGCCUUUGGCAACCAAUCUUGCUUUGUACCUCACAACAUUACCCAUAGCAUCUCUCUUGGUUCUAAACACCCACUUACAUCCAAUUGCUGAACGAUUUGGUGGAAGUGGAGUCAACUCCCAUGUCUUGUUGUCCAUAAGAGAUUUGUACUCUUCUUGCAUAGCAAUCUCCCACUUCAUUGCAUCACCACACCUCAUUGCAUCACACAAAGUCAAUGGAUCAUCAAGAAGAGCAACAUUGGCCUGAUCUUCACUUACUUGUGGAAAGAUGUGGUUCUUCCACCAUUCACCUUGUGGUCUUCUUUCACGUGUUGGAUAUCUUCUUUCAUGCAAAGAAGAUGAGCCUUCAUGCACCUCUUGCUGCCUUCUAUGGCUCAUACACUUCCUUCUCUCAUUCAUUGGUUGAUAUUCUUCAUCUUCAUUCUCUUCAUUGUCCUUGUUGUAUCUUGCUGGAAUUGAAGUCUUUAUAGAGUUGGGCUCUUCUUCAAUGAUAUCUUCAUUUCCAUCUUCACUUUGAGAAUGCUCUUCUUCAUCUUCUUGUUUGUUUGCUGGAAUUGAAGAUGUGUCCACAAACACACCACUACUCCCACUUGGAUACAUCUCCCACUUUUCACUUGCACUCUUAUACUCCAAGAACUCUACAUCACGACUUUUGAUGAUCUUUUUGGUGUCUAAACACAUGAGCCUAUAUGCCUUGGUGCCUUCACAAUAUCCAAGGAAUGCACAUCUUGUGCCCUUUGCAUCAAGUUUGCCUCUCAUACUAUCUGGAACUUUAGCAUAUGCAAUGCAUCCAAAAAUCCUCAUAUGAGAUAAACAAGGUUUCUUACCAGUCCAAGCUUCUUCUGGAGUCAUUCCUUCAAGUGCACUUGUGGGACACCUAUUUCUUGUAUAUACGGCAUUUACCACAGCUUCCGCCCAAUACUCAUAUCCAAGCUUUUGAGCAUGAAUCAUACUCCUUGCCAUCUCCACAAUGGUGCGAUUUGCUCUUUCAGCAACUCCAUUUUGUUGUGGGGUAUAGGGAGUGGAGGUUUGUCUUACAAUACCUUCUUGCUUCAAUAACUCAACAAAGUCUUUUGAUAAAUACUCACCUCCAUUGUCCGAUCGCAGCACCUUAAUCUUGUGCUCACAUUGCUUCUCCAUAAGUGCUUUCCACUCCUUAAACUUAGCAAAACACUCACUUUUGGCCUUGAUGAUAUAAAUCCAUACCUUCCUUGAAAAGUCAUCAAUAAAUGUGACAAAAUAUCUUGCUCCACUCAUAGAUGCUGUUUUCAUGGGUCCACAAACAUCCGAAUGCACAAGCUCCAGCAAUUGAUUUGCUCUUCUUGCAAUUCCACUAGGAAAUAGUGUCCUAUGUUGUUUGCCUUGAAUGCAACCUUCACAAGAUAGAUUCAUAGUAGAAUGGCCAAGGUCUAAGCCACUUACCAUGGAUUGAAGCUCCUUCAUGCUUUUGGCAUUCAAAUGUCCAAGUCUUUGAUGCCAAAUGCCUACCUUAUCUUCAUUUGAUGGAAAUUCAGCAAAAGCAGCAACCUCUACUCCAUUGAUGCGCUUGCAAUUGAUAAUAUAGAGAUUGCCAUCUCUAAUCCCUUUUGCUACUUCUUUGCCUUCCAUGGUUCUCACAAAACAUCCAUUCAUAUUGAAUUGUACUUUGCACCCAUGACUUACAAGUUUACUCACCGAAAGGAGGUUCUUCUUCAUCUUUGGCACAUGCAACACAUCCUUGAGUGUGAUCCUCUUGCUUAUGCCCUUGACCACUACUUCCACUACAAUGGUGCCCAUUCCAAUGGCUUGUACCAUACCAUUAUCACCUAACCAAACCUUAGUUGCUGGAAUUGGUUGAUAAGUGUUAAAUGAACACUUGUAUGGAGUCAUGUGUUUGGUACAUCCAGAAUCCACGAUCCAUUUGCCUUCUAUGACUCAUCAAGUACUUUCUCUUACUCAUUUGUUGGUAUUCUUCAUCUUCAUUCUCUUCAUUGUCCUUGUUGUAUCUUGCUGGAAUUGAAGUCUUCAUAGUAUUGGGCUCUUCCAUCUUGGCAACUUCCUCUCCUUCUUCACUUUGAGAAUGCACUUCUUCAUCUUCUUGUUUGUUUGUUGGAAUUGAAGAUGUGUCCACAAACACACCACUACUCCCACUUGGACACAUCUCCCACUUUUCACUACCACUCAUAGAUGGUAUCCUCAUAGAUCCACAAACAUCGGAAUGCACAAUCUCCAGCAAUUGGUUUGUUCUUGUUACAACUCCUCUAGGAAAUGGUGUCCUAUGUUGUUUGCCUUGAAUGCAUCCCUCACAAGCAAGAUUCAUGGUAGAAUGGCCAAGGUCUAUGCCAUUUAUUUAGGAUUGAAGCCCCUUCAUGCUUUUCGCAUUCAAAUGCCCAAGUCUUUGAUGCCAAAUGCCCAUCUUCUCUUCAUUUGAUGGAAAUUCAGCAAAGGCAGCAACCUCCACUCCAUUGAUCCUUUUGCAAUUGAUAAUAUAGAGAUUGCCAUUCCUAGUCCCUUUUGCUACUUCUUUGCCUUCCAUGGUUCUCACAAAACAUCCGUUCAUGUUAAAUUGCACUUUGUACCCAUGAGUUAUAAGUCUACUCACCGAAAGGAGGUUCUUCUUCAUCUUUGGCACAUGCAACACAUCCUUGAGAGUGAUUCUCUUGCUUAUGCCCUUCACCAGCACCUCCACUACAAUGGUGCCUAUUCCAAUGGCUUGUACCAUACAAUUAUCACCUAACCAAACGUUGGUUACUUGAAUUGGUUGAUAAGUGUUAAAUGAACACUUGUAUGGAGUCAUGUGUUUGGUACAUCCGGAAUCCACUAUCCAUUUGCUCAUAUCAAACAUGGAAGGAGUUUGUUUUGCCAUGAAUGCAAAGUCUUCACCUCCAUGGUCAUGAAAAGCAUUGUUGGCAUUCUCUCUUUCUCCUUUCUUUGCCUUGAAAUAAUUUCUAGCAAAAUGGCCUGGUUUUCCACAAAUGUAACAAGUUUUAGGAGGAUAACGUUGAAAAGGGGCACUUGCCUUACUUGGUCUUGUAAAUAGUGCUGAUUGCUCUCCAAUAGACUCCUUUUGCUUUCUUUUGGUCACUUCAUGGGCUAGUCUUGCCGUGACAUAGUCCAAAGUGAGGACUUUCCUUGAAAUGGACUCCAAUGCCACAAUGAGGGAGGAAUAGGAGUCCGGAAGGCUUGAGAGCAAUGUCAUCACAACAUCUUCUUCAAGUAAAGGCUUGUCAACAACAGCAAGUUGGUUUGCAAGUGCUUUUACCUUAUUUACAUGAGCCAUGAGAUCUUCACCUUCUUCCAUCUUCACGGUGAAGAAAUUUUGCCUUGACCAUAGCACAUCAGAAAGAUUCCUACUCUCAUAGACAUUGCAAAGAGUCUUCCAUGCAUCUGCUGCUCCUUUGCAAGAAAUGACAUGAGCAAAGUUGGUUUCAUCUAAGUUGGUGGCAAUUAUCCAAAAGCCUUCUUUUCUCGUCUUUUGAAGUCCUUUUGCUCCUUCAUGCUUGCCUCUAAUCCAGGUGCCUCUUCCUCCUCACAUACUAUCUCACAAAGAUCCAAUGACGCCAAAAGUAGCUCCAUUUUGGCCUUCCAGUGGUGAAAGAUGUCACCUCUAAACUUUUCUACCAUUCUUAAGCUAUCACUCUCAAAAGAUGCCAUCUCAACCUACAAGUAGGUCCAAAAAUCUCUUGAUUUGGAGUUGUAAUGCAAAAGAUAUGACUACUCAAAGAUUGCUGAACUACAAACUCAGAAUUCGCUGUUUUGCAACUUUUUGCAUACUUUGAGUCCAAAUCACGUCUAAAUGGUGGGAAAUGCUAUAUCAUGUAAUUCUAUGGCUUUCAAACCACUCCCUCACAUCACCCCACUCAAAAUGCCUCGAUUUCUCAUAAAACUCUCAAAUACUAGUGUUACUUCAGCAAAGACACUAUCAAGGUCUUGCACUAACCUCAUACACUCAAAAAUCUAGGAGUAAUGACUUCAACAAAACACUAGUAAUACUAUACCAUAAGAUCUCAACCACCAAACAAGCAACAAAGAAAAUAAAAUGCAAGAACAACUUACUUGGUAAGAGAAUGUGGGCCCAUAACCUAUUGAAACAUAGAAAACAUACUCCACACAAGUAAGUUAGGACCAGCAAGGUUGCACUAUAAGAAAUAGAGUGUGGUAUGAGAUAAUUCUUCCCAUGCCAAUCCUUUCCUUAUAUACUAGUACCAAGGUACUAAGUGCUAUAAUCCAUAUUGGAUAUCUCCUAGGACCAGCCCUCCCCUUCUACUCUAAUGCACUAUAGACCAGCAUCCUACUUUAUGGGAUAUCCUUAACAACACUUGUACUCUAUUGACCAUUAGCAACUACUUAAAGAGUUCUUUUCUCAACAAGCAAGAGGUGCAAGAAGGCUCAUCUUCUUUGCAUGAAAGAAGAUAUCCAACACGUGAGAGAAGACCACAAGGUGAAUGGUGAAAGAAUCACUUCUUGUGCACACCAAUUGGAUGUAAGUGGGUACUUAGAACUAACCGGGAUGCAAACGAUUGAAGGUCAACAAUGGGCUAUUAUUCUUUUUGAGNNNNNNNNNNNNNNNNNNNNNNNNNNNNNNNNNNNNNNNNNNNNNNNNNNNNNNNNNNNNNNNNNNNNNNNNNNNNNNNNNNNNNNNNNNNNNNNNNNNNNNNNNNNNNNNNNNNNNNNNNNNNNNNNNNNNNNNNNNNNNNNNNNNNNNNNNNNNNNNNNNNNNNNNNNNNNNNNNNNNNNNNNNNNNNNNNNNNNNNNNNNNNNNNNNNNNNNNNNNNNNNNNNNNNNNNNNNNNNNNNNNNNNNNNNNNNNNNNNNNNNNNNNNNNNNNNNNNNNNNNNNNNNNNNNNNNNNNNNNNNNNNNNNNNNNNNNNNNNNNNNNNNNNNNNNNNNNNNNNNNNNNNNNNNNNNNNNNNNNNNNNNNNNNNNNNNNNNNNNNNNNNNNNNNNNNNNNNNNNNNNNNNNNNNNNNNNNNNNNNNNNNNNNNNNNNNNNNNNNNNNNNNNNNNNNNNNNNNNNNNAGUGUAUGAGGUUAGUGCAAGACCUUGAUAGUGUUUUGCUGAGUACACUAGUAUUUGAGAGUUUUAUGAGAAAUUGAGUCAUUUUGAGUGAGGUGAUGUGAGGGAGAUGUUUGAAAGCCAUAGAAUUACAUGACAUAGCAUUUCCCACCAUUUAGACGUGAUUUGGACUCAAAGUAUGCAAAAAGUUGCAAAACAGCGAAUUCUAAAUUUGUAGUUCAGCAAUCUUUAAGUAGUCAUAUCUUUUGCAUUACAACUCCAAAUCAAGAGAUUUUUGGACCUACUUGUAGGUUGAGAUGGCAUCUUUUGAGAGUGAUAGCUUAAGAAUGGUAGAAAAGUUUAGAGGUGACAACUUUCACCACUGGAAGGCCAAAAUGGAGCUACUUUUGGCGUCAUUGGAUCUUUGUGAGAUAGUAUGUGAGGAGGAAGAGGCACCUGGGGUAGAGGCAAGCAUCACGGAGCAAAAGGACUUCAAAAGACGAGAAAAGAAGGCUUUUGGUAUAAUUGCCACCAACUUAGAUGAAACCAACUUUGCUCAUGUCAUUUCUUGCAAAGGAGCAGCAGAUGCAUGGAAGACUCUUUGCAAUGUCUAUGAGAGUAGGAAUCUUUCCAAUGUGCUAUGGUCAAGGCAAAAGUUCUUCACCGUGAAGAUGGAAGAAGGUGAAGAUCUCAUGGCUCAUAUAAAUAAGGUAAAAGCACUUGCAAACCAACUUGCUGUUGUUGACAAGCCUUUACUUGAAGAAGAUGUUGUGAUGACAUUGCUCUCAAGCCUUCCGGACUCCUAUUCCUCCCUCAUUGUGGCAUUGGAGUCCAUUUCAAGGAAAGACCUCACUUUGGACUAUGUCACGGCAAGACUAGCCCAUGAAGUGACCAAAAGAAAGCAAAAGGAGUCUAUUGGAGAGCAAUCAACACUAUUUACAAGACCAAGUAAGGCAAGUGCCCCUUUUCAACGUUAUCCUCCUAAAACUUAUUACAUUUGUAGAAAACCAGGCCAUUUUGCUAGAAAUUGUUUCAAGGCAAAGAGAGGAGAAAUAGAGAAUGCCAACGAUGCUUUUCAUGACCAUGGAGGUGAAGACUUUGCAUUCAUGGCAAAACAAACUCCUUCCAUGUUUGAUAUGAGCAAAUGGAUUGUGGAUUCCGGAUGUAUCAAACACAUGACUCCAUACAAGUGUUCAUUUAACACUUAUCAACCAAUUCAAGCAACCAACGUUUGGUUAGGUGAUAAUUGUAUGGUACAAGCCAUUGGAAUAGGCACCAUUGUAAUGGAGGUGGUGGUGAAGGGCGUAAGCAAGAGAAUCAAUCUCAAGGAUGUGUUGCAUGUGCCAAAGAUGAAGAAGAACCUCCUUUCGGUGAGUAAACUUAUAACUCAUGGGUACAAAGUGCAAUUUAACAUGAAUGGAUGUUUUGUGAGAACCAUGGAAGGCAAAGAAGUAGCAAAAGGGAGUAGGAAUGGCAAUCUCUAUAUUAUCAAUUGUAAGAGGAUCAAUGGAGUGGAGGUUGCUGCCUUUGCUGAAUUUCCAUCAAAUGAAGAGAAGAUGGGCAUUUGGCAUCAAAGACUUGGGCAUUUGAAUGCCAAAAGCAUGAAGGGGCUUCAAUCCAAGGUAAAUGGCAUAGACCUUGGCCAUUCUACCAUGAAUCUUGCUUGUGACGGAUGCAUUCAAGGCAUACAACAUAGAACACCAUUUCCUAGAGGAGUUGCAACAAGAACAAAUCAAUUUCUGGAGCUUGUGCAUUCCGAUGUUUGUGGAUCCAUGAGGACACCAUCUAUGAGUGGUAGUGAAAAGUGGGAGAUGUGUCCAAGUGGGAGUAGUGGUGUGUUUGUGGACACAUCUUAAAUUCUAACAAACAAACAAGAAGAUGAAGAAGAGCAUUCUCAAAGUGAAGAAGAAGUGGAAGAUGCCAUGAUAGAAGAGCCCAAUACUAUGAAGACUUCAAUUCCUGCAAGAUACAACAAGGACAAUGAAGAGAAUGAAGAUGAAGAAUACCAACAAAUGGGUAAGAGAAAGCACUCCAUGAGUCAUACAAGGCAGCAAGAGGUGCAAGAAGGCUCAUCUUCUUUGCAUGAAAGAAGAUAUCCAACACGUGAGAGAAGACCACAAGGUGAAUGGUGAAAGAAUCACAUCUUUCCACAACAAUUGGAUAUAAGUGGAUGCUUAGAACUAAGAGAGAUGCNNNNNNNNNNNNNNNNNNNNNNNNNNNNNNNNNNNNNNNNNNNNNNNNNNNNNNNNNNNNNNNNNNNNNNNNNNNNNNNNNNNNNNNNNNNNNNNNNNNNCAAUAGGGGUGGAGAAUUCGGGCAGCAAGUCAUGAAGCAAUGGAGGCAUUUUGGUUGAGUUUGUUAUUGGAAGAUAUUGGACUUGUGCAAUUUGAAGCUACUCCAUUGAGGUGUGACAAUCAAGGAUGGCUUGCUUUUGGAAAGAAUCCAAAGCAUCAUGCAAGAACUAAGUACAUUGAUAUUCAGCAUCAUUUGAUAAGAGAGAAGAUAGAGAUGGAGGUUAUUGAUAUGAUGUAUUGUGAAACCAAAGACAUGUUGGCUGAUUUGUUGACAAAAGCCUUAGUUAGAGAAGGACACAACAAGUUGAGUAAGGCAUUAGGAUUGAUAGCUAAUUGACCAAUAGCAAAGUGGGAGUGUUGAGAAAAGAACUCUUUAAGUAGUUGCUAAUGGUCAAUAGAGUAUAAGUGUUGUUAAGGACAUCCCAUAAGGUAGGGUGGUGGUCUAUAGUACAUUAGAGUACAAGGGGAGGGCUGGUCCUAGGAGAUAUCCCAUAUGGAUAGUAGCACUUGGUACCUUGGUACUACUAUAUAAGAAAAGGGUUGGCAUGGGAAGAAUUAUCUCAUACCACACUCUAUUUGUUAUAGUGCAACCUUGCUGGUCCUAACUUACUUGUGUGGAGUAUGCUUUCUAUGUUUCAAUAGCCUUCAUGCUUCAAUAACUCAUCAAAGUGUUUGGACAAAUACUCACCUCCAUUGUCCGAUCGUAGUAACUUAAUCUUCUGCUCACAUUGCUUCUCCACAAGUGCUUUCCACUCCUUAAACUUGGCAAAACACUCACUCUUGGCCUUGAUGAUGUAGAUCCAUACCUUCCUUGAGAAGUCAUAAAUAAAUGUAACAAAGUACCUUGCUGCACUCAUAGAUGGUGUCCUCAUGGUUCAACAAACAUCCGAAUGCACAAGCUCCAGUAAUUGGUUGGCUCUUGUUGCAACGCCACUAGGAAAUGGUAUCCUAUGUUGUUUGCCUUGAAUGCAUCCCUCACAAAUAAGAUUCAUGGUAGAAUGGCCAAGGUCUAAGCAACUUAUCAUGGAUUGAAGCUCCUUCAUGCUUUUGGCAUUCAAAUGCCCAAGUCUUUGAUGCCAGCUGCCCACCUUGUCUUUAUUAGAUAGAAAUUCGGUAAAAUCAGCAACCUCCACUCCAUUGAUCCUCUUGCAAUUGAUAAUAUAGAGAUUGCCAUUCCUAGUCCCUUUUGCUAUUUCUUUGCCUUCCAUUGUUCUCACAAAACAUCCAUUCAUGUUAAAAUGCACUUUGUACCCAUAAAUUACAAGUUCACUCACCGAAAGGAGGUUCUUCUUCAUCUUUGGCACAUGAAACACAUCCUUGAGAGUGAUUCUCUUGCUUAUGCCCUUCACCACCACUUCCACUACAAUGGUGCCUAUUCCAAUGGCUUGUACCAUACAAUUAUCACCUAACCAAACGUUGGUUGCUUGAAUUGGUUGAUAAGUGUUAAAUGAACACUUGUAUGGAGUCAUGUGUUUGGUACAUCCGGAAUCCACAAUCCAUUUGCUCAUAUCAAGCAUGGAAGGAGUUUGUUUUGCCAUGAUGCAAAGUCUUCACCUCGAUGGUCAUGAAAAGCAUUGUUGGCAUUCUCUCUUUUUCUUCUCUUUGCCUUGAAAGAAUUUUUAGCAAAUUGGCCUGAUUUUCCACAAAUGUAACAAGUUUUAGGAGGAUAACGUUGAAAAGGGGCACUUGCCUUACUUGGUCUUGUAAAUAGUGCUGAUUGCUCCCCAAUAGACUCUUCUUACUUUCUUUUGGUCACUUCAUGGGCUAGUCCUCCCGUGCCAUAGUCCAAAGUGAGGUCUUUCCUUGAAAUGGACUCCAAUGCCACAAUGAGGGAAGAAUAGGAGUCCAGAAGGCUAGAGAGCAUUGUCAUCACAACAUCUUCUUUAAGUAAAGGCUUGUCAACAACAACAAGUUGGUUUACAAGUGCUUUUACCUUAUUCACAUGAGCCAUGAGAUCUUCACCUUCUUCCAUCUGAUAGGGUAAAAGAUAAAGAUGUUAAGAUAAAUAUAUAAUAGUAAAAGUAGAAUAAGUUAUCUUAUAGAGAAUAUUCUCUUAGGUAAGUUGCUAAUGGUCAAAGGCAACUAAGGACUAAGUAAUGGCUAGGGUCUGGAUAGACGGCUAGGUAUAAAGUCUCGAAAGGCGGUUAAGUUUAGGGUCUCGAGUAGUGGCUAGUUAUAGAUGAAUGUGGAUGAAGUCUAUACAUAUAGGAUGUGAACUCUGAUUAAAAGUAACGGGUGUUGGAAGUAAGAGUCAUCUCAUUCUACACUUCUCUUAUGUGCAACCUUGCUGAUUUCUACUUACUUGUGUUAUGUUGAAACAUAGAAAUUAAACUCCACCAAAGAAAGUUAGGACCAGCAAGGUUGCACUUUAACAAAUAGAAUGUGGUAUGAGAUAAUACUUCCCAUGCCAACCCUUUCCUUAUAUACUAGUAUCAAGGUACCAAGUGCUACAAUCCAUAUGGGAUAUUUCCUAGGACCAGCCCUCCCCUUGUACUCUAAUGCACUCUAGACAGGCACCUAACAUUAUGAGAUAUCCCUAACAACACUUGUACUCUAUUGACCAUUAGCAAUUACUUAAAGAGUUCUUUUCUCAACACUCCCACUUUGCUAUUGGUCAAUUAGCUCUCAAUCCUAAUGCCUUACUCAACUUGUUGUGUGUUUCUCUAACUAAAGCAUUUGUCAACAAAUCAGCCAACAUGUCUUUGGUUUCACAAUACAUCAUAUCAAUAACCUCCAUCUCUAUCUUCUCUCUUAUGAAAUGAUGCUGAAUAUCAAUGUACUUAGUUCUUACAUGAUGCUUUGGAUUCUUUACAAAAGCAAGACAUCCUUGAUUGUCACACCUCAAUGGAGUAGCCUCCAAUAGCACAAGUCCAAUAUCUUCCAAUAACAACCUCAAUCAAAUUGCCUCCAUUGCUUUAUGACUUGCUGCCAAAUACUCCGCUCCUAUUGUGGACCUUGCAAUGUUUGGUUGUCUAUUGCAAUUCGAAGAUAUGGCUCCCACUCAAACAAAGAAUACAUAGCCCAUUGUUGACCUUCAAUCGUUUGCAUCUCUCUUAGUUCUAAGCACCUACUUACAUCCAAUUGUUGUGGAAAGAUGUGGUUCUUUCACCGUUCACCUUGUGGUCUUCUCUCACGUGUUGGAUAUCUUCUUUCAUGCAAAGAAGAUGAGCCUUCUUGCACCUCUUGCUGCCUUCUAUGAUUCAAGGAGUGCUUUCUCUUACUCAUUUGUUGGUAUUCUUCAUCUUCAUCCUUCUUGUAUCUUGCUGGAAUUGAAGUCUUCAUAGUAUUGGGCUCUUCUAUCAUGGCAUCUUCCUCUUCUUCUUCACUUUGAGAAUGCUCUUCUUCAUCUUCUUGUUUGUUUGUUGGAGUUGAAGAUGUGACCACAAACACUCCAAUACUCCCACUUGCACACAUCUCCUACUUUCACUACCACUCAUAGAUGGUGUCCUCAUGGAUCCACAAACAUCUGAAUGCACAAAUUCCAGCAAUUGGUUUGCUCUUGUUGCAACUCCUCUAGGAAAUGGUGUCCUAUGUUGUUUGCCUUGAAUGCAUCCCUCACAAGCAAGAUUCAUGGUAUAAUGGCCAAGGUCUAUGCCAUUUACCUUGGAUUGAAGCCCCUUCAUGCUUUUGGCAUUCAAAUGCCCAAGUCUUUGAUGCCAAAUGCCCAUCUUCUCUUCAUUUGAUGGAAAUUCAGCAAAGGCAGCAACCUCCACUCCAUUGAUCCUCUUACAAUUGAUAAUAUAGAGAUUGCCAUUCCUAGUCCCUUUUGCUACUUCUUUGCCUUCCAUGGUUCUCACAAAACAUCCAUUCAUGUUAAAUUGCACUUUGUACCCAUGAGUUAUAAGUUUACUCACCGAAAGGAGGUUCUUCUUCAUCUUUGGCACAUGCAACACAUCCUUGAGAGUGAUUCUCUUGCUUAUGCCCUUCACCACCACCUCCACUACAAUGGUGCCUAUUCCAAUGGCUUGUACCAUACAAUUAUCACCUAACCAAACGUUGGUUGCUUGAA